GACGAACGCUGGCGGCGUGCUUAACACAUGCGAGUCGAACGGUAAGGCCCUUUCGGGGGUACACGAGUGGCGAACGGGUGAGUAACACGUGGGUGAUCUGCCCUGCACUUUGGGAUAAGCCUGGGAAACUGGGUCUAAUACCGGAUAGGACUACGCGAUGCAUGUCGUGUGGUGGAAAGCUUUUGCGGUGUGGGAUGGGCCCGCGGCCUAUCAGCUUGUUGGUGGGGUGAUGGCCUACCAAGGCGACGACGGGUAGCCGGCCUGAGAGGGUGUCCGGCCACACUGGGACUGAGAUACGGCCCAGACUCCUACGGGAGGCAGCAGUGGGGAAUAUUGCACAAUGGGCGCAAGCCUGAUGCAGCGACGCCGCGUGGGGGAUGACGGCCUUCGGGUUGUAAACCCCUUUCAGCACAGACGAAGCGUAAGUGACGGUAUGUGCAGAAGAAGCGCCGGCCAACUACGUG
rnacentral:rRNA from 1 species